rnacentral:rRNA from 1 species
CCUGGCGGCCGUAGCGCGGUGGUCCCACCUGACCCCAUGCCGAACUCAGAAGUGAAACGCCGUAGCGCCGAUGGUAGUGUGGGGUCUCCCCAUGU